rnacentral:rRNA from 1 species
UACGUAGGUGGCAAGCGUUGUUCGGAAUUACUGGGCGUAAAGCGCGCGUAGGCGGCUCUUCACGUCAGACGUGAAAGCCCCGGGCUUAACUCGGGAACUGCGUUUGAUACUGUCGGGCUAGAGUGUGGAAGGGGCGAUUGGAAUUCCGUGUGUAGCGGUGAAAUGCGUAGAUAUACGGAGGAACACCAGGGGCGAAGGCGGAUCGCUGGGCCAACACUGACGCUGAUGUGCGAAAGCUAGGGGAGCGAACGGG